CCUACGGGGGGCAGCAGUGAGGAAUAUUGGUCAAUGGACGAGAGUCUGAACCAGCCAAGUAGCGUGAAGGAUGACUGCCCUAUGGGUUGUAAACUUCUUUUAUAAAGGAAUAAAACGAGGCACGUGUGCCUUUUUGCAUGUACUUUAUGAAUAAGGAUCGGCUAACUCCGUGCCAGCAGCCGCGGUAAUACGGAGGAUCCGAGCGUUAGCCGGAUUUAUUGGGUUUAAAGGGAGCGGAGAUGGGUUGUUAAGUCAGGUGUGAAAGUUUGCGGCUCAACCGUAAAAUUGCAAUUGAUACUGGCAGUCUAGAGUACAGUUGAGGUAGGCGGAAUUCGUGGUGUAGCGGUGAAAUGCUUAGAUAUCACGAAGAACCCCGAUUGCGAAGGCAGCUUACUAGACUGUGACUGACAUUGAUGCUCGAAAGUGUGGGUAUCAAACAGGAUUAGAUACCCCAGUAGUC
rnacentral:rRNA from 1 species